rnacentral:misc_RNA from 1 species
CUGAUCAGCUCGCUCUGCAGACCUCGACCCAUUCUAUCAUUAGUUACGUCGAUUAACGUUAUUGAAACUCUUUGUCAAUGUGACGAUCAAACUUGCCAAGAAACACGUGCAAGCUGUUCGAACAAAUUUGACAAUUUAUAAUGCGACGCAUUCACGCUUCUACUGAAAUUGGACUUGGUCAUUUCUAGCAAUUUCUCUGAGGGUAAACAACUAUUACGACACAAAACAAGCUGUUAAUUCAAAACAGGAUCAUAUCGGGCAUGUGUUUACAUGAACUUUCCUCAUUGUCAUUGUCAUUGUC